UUUCUUCUCCUGUGUGUGUAAUCAAAGUAAACAUCUGUCAUGCUUUGCUUAUCUGAUCUAUACUGCACUACCAACUUAAAGAAAACAAAGUGAAUAUUAACAACACAAUACUCAGUAGUUAAAAAUAAAUUGUCCCGAUAGUGAGCUGCGUUAUGGUGGAGGUUUGAGCUCGCAGUGCGUCUUUUUUGACGUACGAGCAGAACUUUUCAUGUUGAUUUUUUUUUUCUCUGUAGAGCUGUGCCUGACAUCAAAUGUGAAAGGCAACACUGUGCCGUGUUACUCCAAACAUCAUUUCAAGUACUGGUACGAGCUGGGACACCCAACUGUAAUUUGCACUGACGAUAAAGGAGUCUUCUGUACGGACUUGUCUCAGGAAUAUCAGCUGGCAGCUUCCACAUUCGGUCUCAGUCAUGAAGCCGUGUGGAAGCUCUCUCAGCAGGCCAUAGACUGCAUCUUCGCACCAGAGACUGUGAAGCAGCAGCUUAAAGAGAAGUGGAAUGACUUACAUCCUCAGCUUUUCAAGUGAUCGGUUCAUCGGAGCCAAAAGCCAACUACAUACCUCAAGUUUUAAUUUUUUUUUUAAAGCGACUAUUUAACAAGGAUUUACAGAAACCCUUACAUUAAAUCUAAAAAUACUGUAAAAUGGUUUAUGUAAGUGGAAAGUAAAUCAUAACUUUUUAUUUAA